rnacentral:lncRNA from 1 species
GGGAGGGAUGGAGCCCGUGGGGGUGGGAAGGGCCGGGCAGGGGGGGAUAAAGGGAUGAGGAGCCCCCGGUGCUCCAGCCCAGCGCGGAGCUGCUUCCCCCGAGCCCUGUGCCAGUGAACCUAAUGUCUACAGAAACAAAGAGCUCAUCUCAGCAUAACCAAGAACGACAAACGUCGUCCACAACAACUGUGGCUGAUGGCAUUCUGGCUAAGAAAGGGAUAGCAAAGAUAUUCAAAGGCAUAGAAAUGGUGCUCGAUGAAUCAAGUAAGUGUGCUGGAUCCCAUUGCUCUUGUCUGUGGCCACACUUGGGAACCCUUCCACCCCUGGGGCAGUCGGUUCCAGGAGUACUGCACACCCCUCUACGUGAAGGCAAACUGAGGCCUGCAUUCUGCUGCCAGAGGAAUGGAGAAAAAUGCAUUGGCAAUAUCAAUAGUGGCGUACCACUUCGCUGCCUUGGACUCCAGCUCGUCCUGGAGUUCCAGCAUGUCUGGCACAGCAGCGCUCAGUGGUGGAGUCACUUCAUUCAAUGCACGGUAGUCCACAGUCAAUCUCCAUUCUCCUUCAGAUUUACGCACAGGCCAGAUGGGGCUGUUGAAGGGUGAGUGGGUUUUGCUGACCACCCCUUGGCUCUCCAGCUCUCGGAUCAUCUUAUGGAUGGGAACCACAGCAUCUCGAGUUGUUCUGUACUGUCAGCGAUGCACUGUUGAAGUGGCAACUGGUACCUUUUGUUCUUCUCCCUUCAAAAGUCCUACUGUAGUUGGAUUCUCAGACAGUCCAGGCAAGGUGUUCAGUUGCUGGAUGCCCUCUGUCGCUAC